rnacentral:rRNA from 1 species
AGAGUUUGAUCAUGGCUCAGAAUCAACGCUGGCGGCGUGCCUAACACAUGCAAGUCGAACGCGAAAAGGGCUUCGGCUCUUAGUAGAGUGGCGAACGGGUGAGUAACACGUGGGUGACCUACCUUCGAAUGGGGGAUAACGUCCCGAAAGGGACGCUAAUACCGCAUAACAUCCUGCUUUUGAACAGGUGGAGAUCAAAGCCGGGGAUCGCAAGACCUGGCGUUUGAAGAGGGGCCCGCGCCUGAUUAGCUAGUUGGUGAGGUAACGGCCCACCAAGGCGACGAUCAGUAUCCGGCCUGAGAGGGCGGACGGACACACUGGGACUGAGACACGGCCCAGACUCCUACGGGAGGCAGCAGUGGGGAAUUGUUCGCAAUGGGCGCAAGCCUGACGACGCAACGCCGCGUGGAGGAUGAAGGUCUUCGGAUUGUAAACUCCUGUUGCUCGGGACGAAAAGCUUCGACCUAACACGUCGAAGUCUGACGGUACCGGGUGAGGAAGCCCCGGCUAACUCUGUGCCAGCAGCCGCGGUA